rnacentral:rRNA from 1 species
AUGGCCAACAACUCCACUUCUUCAGUUAACACCUCCAUAUCUGAGAGCUCGUCGAGGUGCCUGACAGAGUGCGUCACCACCGCCCACAACUUUGAGGUGAUCAGAUUCUCAAAGCUCGAAGGUAUGGGUGCUGGCAAGUUCAUUAGCUCGAGCACAUUCAGCGUCAGCGGCUACGACUGGAACAUCAGGGUCUACCCGGACGAGUGGAAGGAGGAGGACAAAGCUGCCCACUUGUCAGUCUUCUUGUGCUUCUGUAGCGGGGCAACUGGUGUGAAGGUAGAAUACACUUUGAGUUUAUUGGAGAAAGAUGGAAGAAUUAGUCAGAUAGCAAGCAUACCAAAUACCUUCUGGACUGUAGGUGGUUAUUGGGGCCGUGAUAAGUUUAUUGAGAAGUCCAAGCUGAAGGAACUGUUAUCCCGCAAUGGCGACUGCUUCACAAUCAGGUGUGUUUUGACCGUGAUGAAAGAGCCUCGCACGGAAGAUCUAGGCACGGUCAUAGUCCCAGUCCCGCAGUCAGACAUGCACACACAUUUUGCAAGCAUGUUGAAGGACGGGGAAGGCGUGGAUGUGACGUUCAGUGUCGGCGGCCAACUCUUCAAUGCACACAGAUGCGUGUUAGCGGCACGAUCCUCGGUCUUCAAGGCCGUGCUCUUUGGUAAAAUGAAGGAGACCACCAUGAAAAGCAUCGAGAUCGAUGACAUGGAGCCUGCCAUCUUUGAGGCACUUCUUCACUUCAUAUACACAGAUUCACUCUCCUGCGAUGUUGAUCAAAUUGUCGCAUUGCAGCACUUGUUUGUUGCCGCAGAUCGGUAUGGAAUGGACAGGCUAAAGGCUAUUUGUGAAGGGAAGCUAUGCCAGAGAAUCGACGUGCAAACAGUUGCAAUCACCCUUACUUUAGCGGAGCAGCAUGACGCCGUGCAUCUAAAAAAUGCUUGUCUUAGAUUCCUUUCUUCGCAGGGCGUGCUCCGAGCUGUCAAGGAGACUGAUGGAUUCAAGCACCUCACAACGAGCUGCCCGUCCAUUAUGAUGGACAUUUUAGACAAGGUCGCCCCACCUUCAUGA